CCUACGGGAGACAGCAGUCGAGAAUCAUUCACAAUGGGGGAAACCCUGAUGGUGCGACGCCGCGUGGGGGAAUGAAGGUCUUCGGAUUGUAAACCCCUGUCAUGUGGGAGCAAAUUAAAAAGAUAGUACCACAAGAGGAAGAGACGGCUAACUCUGUGCCAGCAGCCGCGGUAAUACAGAGGUCUCAAGCGUUGUUCGGAAUCACUGGGCGUAAAGCGUGCGUAGGCUGUUUCGUAAGUCGUGUGUGAAAGGCGCGGGCUCAACCCGCGGACGGCACAUGAUACUGCGAGACUAGAGUAAGGGAGGGGGAACCGGAAUGCUCGGUGUAGCAGUGAAAUGCGUAGAUAUCGAGAGGAACACUCGUGGCGAAGGCGGGUUCCUGGACAUUAACUGACGCUGAGGCACGAAGGCCAGGGGAGCGAAAGGGAUUAGAUACCCCUGUAGUC
rnacentral:rRNA from 1 species